rnacentral:tRNA from 7 species
GCGCCCGUAGCUCAGUCUGGAUAGAGCGCAAGGUUGCGGACCUUGAGACCACAGGUUCAAAUCCUGUCGGGCGCACCA